GACGAACGCUGGCGGCGUGCCUAAUACAUGCAAGUUGAGCGCUGAAGGUUGGUACUUGUACCAACUGGAUGAGCAGCGAACGGGUGAGUAACGCGUGGGGAAUCUGCCUUUGAGCGGGGGACAACAUUUGGAAACGAAUGCUAAUACCGCAUAAAAACUUUAAACACAAGUUUUAAGUUUGAAAGAUGCAAUUGCAUCACUCAAAGAUGAUCCCGCGUUGUAUUAGCUAGUUGGUGAGGUAAAGGCUCACCAAGGCGAUGAUACAUAGCCGACCUGAGAGGGGGGUCGACCACAUUGGGACUGAGACACGACCCAAACUCCUACGGGAGGCAGCAGAAGGGAAUCUUCGGCGAUGGACGAGAGUCUGACCGAGCAACGCCGCGUGAGUGAAGAAGGUUAUCGGAUCGUAAAACUCUGUUGGUAGAGAAGAACGUUGGUGAGAGUGGAAAGCUCAUCAAGUGACGGUAACUACCCAGAAAGGGACGGCUAACUACGUG
rnacentral:rRNA from 1 species